CCUACGGGUGGCUGCAGUGAGGAAUAUUGGGCAAUGGGGGCAACCCUGACCCAGCCAUGCCGCGUGAGUGAAGAAGGUCUUCGGAUUGUAAAGCUCUUUCGGACGUGACGAUGAUGACGGUAGCGUCCAAAGAAGCACCGGCAAACUUCGUGCCAGCAGCCGCGGUAAUACGAAGGGUGCGAGCGUUGUUCGGAAUUACUGGGCGUAAAGGGAGUGUAGGCGGAAAUGUAAGCUAGCGGUGAAAUGCCGGGGCCCAACCCCGGGACUGCCAUUAUGACUUUGUAGCUAGAGUACUGGAGAGGCUGGCGGAAUACCCAGUGUAGAGGUGAAAUUCGUAGAUAUUGGGUAGAACACCGGUGGCGAAGGCGGCUAUCUGGCCAUUUACUGACGCUGAGGCUCGAAGGCAUGGGGAGCAAACAGGAUUAGAUACCCUUGUAGUC
rnacentral:rRNA from 1 species